AUCUCUUGUGCGUGCGUGCUGGGCUGAUGGCCAUUCAGAGACCAUCGCCAUUGUUGACUGCUUAGGGACAACGCUCGCCGGCGUCUUGCCGCGUUCUGCUGCCACCGCUGCUGCGAGACUGAAGUCGUUCAGGAGGACGCCGAUGCGCCGCGUGCCGGCUGUGCGCCCUUGCCUGUAGGGGAGGCGUGCAACUACGGGGUGGAUGUGCGCGGUGGCCGGGCUGCGUGCCGGCUAUGCGCCGUGUGGUGGAGGACGCCGUCGUCGCCAAAUGCGGAGAAGCAUGUCCAUUGAUUCCUGCCAUGGAAGGGUUGUGGUUGAUCGAAUCGGCAGCGAUUGAAAUUCUCCUAUGCUGAAGCCGUGCGCGCUGGAUGGAGUCGUCAUCGUGAGUACAGGGGCAGACGCUGGCGCCGCCGUGACUAAUGUCGCCAUCCGCGCAAGACUCGAUGCUGCAGUCCGCCGCGCGAGAUAACGCCGGCAGCGCUGGGAAUCGCGCGAGGCGUCGAGGAGGUCUGGCCUAAUCGCUCUGUUAGGGCAAGGUGCUGAUAACGUGUUAAAGCAAACUGACUGAGAAUGAAUCUCUGGAUUUCAUUAAUGAUGAUUGGGGUACAUAUACCCUCCCAACAGCCGCUAAUUAAGGCGGUAAUUA